rnacentral:lncRNA from 1 species
AUAAACAACAAUACACAAAGCCACACUCCAGAAAAUUUUAUAAUAGAUUCAUAUCCUUGACCAAAAAAAAAAAUGAGUAUUCAAGCUAGACAUUCGAAAUCUUUCAACUUGAAUAUCAAUGCACCUAACAUCAUCAACACUAGGAAAAUAAAAUUAAAAAUAAAAUUCAUUUUAAUAAAAAGAAUUAAAGAUUGCUUCAUUUUUGCAAAGUUGCCUGCAGAAAGGCUAAAAAACAAAAUUUAAAUUUAAAUGCAAGGUAUAUGCGUUUCAAAACCUCAAGGAAUAGGGUAAAAUACUUUGCUGACGUUACCUUUCACAUACACAUAAUUCAAGUCAUAAUUUAUUCCCUCCCGAGGUUGCUGCCCUGUGCUCUGCUUGCUUCAGACUCAACUCUCGUAUGAUCUGCAAGUAAUAUAUAAACCAGCGUGCCAAAGUGUACCGUGUUAGAAUUCAAAAAUGUUUCAAUGAAAAGCACAUCUAAAGAAAAAGGAGCAACUGUAGGCAAUAGAUAUCAAGAAC